rnacentral:lncRNA from 1 species
UGGAAGGACAUGUAACAAACAUAGGCUCCCCCACAUGUAUGCAAUCAUAUGAAUAUAAAAUAUAGAAGCAUGUGAGAGCAUAAUCAUGAUAGAGUAGGCAAUGUGUUACAUGUAUCUUGGCCAUAUGCAUCAGAGUAAAAGAUUAUCAAGGAAAAUACCUUCAUGCUCAUGAGUCCUUCUUGCAAACAGUAUGUACAUAAGCAAGAACUCCUCAUACUCAUGAUUUUGAUGCAUACACUUACCUUGUAGUUUUUGAGUUGGCUUAGGAUAGAAUGAACCUGCACAAACAAAGUUAGAUAACACAGGUACAUCCACUAGCCAGGGCAAACAAAAGAAACCACAAGAGUACCAAGACUGGGAUGACAUGUAGAGAGUAAGUACUAGGUACUACAUUGAAUUCAACAUGUCACCAAGAGUAAAGAUAUGCAAUGAAUUUGACUGAUUUCUUUCCCUUAGGUGUCUUGCUCCCCCUGAAUCUUACAUGGGAUAUUGGGAGAAGAUAGGAAACAGAAAAUCAGAGCUGAAAGAUACAACUGGAUAGAACUUAAUGCAAAUAAGCGUAUAUGAACAUGUCUUUCCCCCAAAAAGACAUGUGACAUCUCUCCUCUUGAACAUCAAGCAUCUGGGAUCCUUGAGUAUUUUCUCUCCCCCUGGAAAUCUCUUUCUCCCCCUUAAUAACAUCUGGGAUCCUUGAGACUUUCUCUCCCCCUUGAGCUUCCCUUAACAACAUCUGGGAUCCUUGAGACUUUCUCUCCCCCUUGAGCUUUGAUGUGAUCUCUCUCUCCCCCUUUGACAUCAAUUUCCAAGAAAGGGCCUUCUGGAAUCCGGCGUAUAGGUUUGGUCCUUGAGACUCAGCACAAAGAAAUGGAUAAAAUUGUGAUGCUUGUAGAGGACAAGAUUCAUUGAGUGGAGCUGGAUCAGAAGAAAUGUAGAACAAGUGGCAAACUGUUUUUCUGAUUGUAAGGUCGGUGGCACCGAGUGGCAUAUUUCGGUGGUACCGAAAGGAUUCGGUUGGACCAAAAAUUGCAAGUUGGUGAAACCGAGUUUACACAGAGAAAAACACUUGUCACCUCAGCUCACUAGACAUGUAGGAUCUCACAAAGAUUUGCAAUGAAUUACCUGAAGGAUUUGCAAGGAAUUAAA